UGCUCUAUUGAAGAAGUUAAUUUUUUUUUUUCUUCUUUAUCGCUCUUCAUUUUUAUGUUAACUUUUAAGCAUUAGUUGCUUCGCGAGCAACAAUCAGAAGUAAGAUUAAUUAAGCUUUGUUCAGACAGACUUAAGAAGAUUUUUAGGAAUAGCGGUUAUAAAGAAUGAAGGUCUAUGCUUUGAUAGUAAUCUUAAUUCUGCUGGACUUGUUUUACUGCCAACCGCUAGAAGCAUUCAUAGCUGGCAAGCUUCUUCAUAAGAAAGCUCGUAUCAAAACAAAGGCUAAAGACAAGAAAUUUAUACUUUACGGUGUUGGUGCUGUAGUAAAGGGUACAAAGGGAACUGCGCAGAAAGUAAUCGGUAAACCUCUGAAAGUGAUUGGGGUCGUGUUGGGCCCACUGGGUGUUCCCUUGAAGAUUGCUGGUAAAGUCCUUGAGGGAAAAGCUGUAGCAAACAAAGUGAAAUCUAGUGUGUUAACUGUGAAAAAGUUAGCUAGAGAUUCCACUCGUUAUGGUUGAAUAUUUCAGGUUCUUUCCUGAGAAUUCCUGUGGAUCUUCAUCUUCAACAUUUAGUUAUUAACAAGCUCCACAUUUUUAGCGUAUGAGCAAAUUUUAACAUAUGAUAAUUUUAACAGAACUGUAUAUAUUUUCUCUUUUUGCUUUAUUGUUGACUUCAGAAAUAUAUUUCUCAUUCAAUAAAGUUGUGUGA